UUCAAUUAUCAAUGCUACUCAUUUUGUUAAUGAUCUAGCAUUGGACUUUGAAGGUUUAUGCUGGCUGUUAAUUAGCUCAGCUCCUUUGAAAUGCAUUAGUGGCUUCAAUGGCUAAACACCAUGAGUAUAAUUUUUGUUGGUGAAAUGUCAAAUUUGUUAGCUGCUAUCUAACAGUCUUUCAAAGACAAUUUAUAAGGA
rnacentral:misc_RNA from 1 species